rnacentral:rRNA from 1 species
GUACUCCCCAGGCGGGGCGCUUAAUGCGUUAGCUGCGGCACAGACCCCGUGGAAGGGACCCACACCUAGCGCCCAACGUUUACGGCGUGGACUACCAGGGUAUCUAAUCCUGUUCGCUCCCCACGCUUUCGCUCCUCAGCGUCAGUACAGGCCCAGAGAACCGCCUUCGCCACCGGUGUUCCUCCCGAUAUCUGCGCAUUUCACCGCUACACCGGGAAUUCCGUUCUCCCCUGCCUGCCUCUAGCCAGCCCGUAUCCACUGCACGCCCGGGGUUGAGCCCCGGGAUUUCACAGCAGACGUGACAAGCCGCCUACGAGCUCUUUACGCCCAAUAAUUCCGGACAACGCUUGCGCCCUACGUAUUACCGCGGCUGCUGGCACGUAGUUAGCCGGCGCUUCUUCCCCAGGUACCGUCACUCUCGCUUCGUCCCUGGUGAAAGCGGUUUACAACCCGAAGGCCUUCAUCCCGCACGUGGCGUCGCUGCGUCAGGGUUUCCCCCA